rnacentral:rRNA from 1 species
GACGAACGCUGGCGGCGUGCCUAAUACAUGCAAGUCGAACGCAGUGGGGACGGGUGAGUAACACGUGGGUAACCUCCCAUCAGAGGGGAUAACACUUGGAAACAGGUGCUAAACCGAUACUGAUGGAUGGACCAGCGGGGCAUUAGCUAGUUGGUUAGGUAACGGCUCACCAAGGCCACGAUGCAUCGCAGACCUGAGCGGUUGAUCGGCCACACUGGGACGGAGCGACCGCCCAGACUCCGACGGGAGGCAGCAGUAGGGAAUCUUCGGCAAUGGACGAAAGUCUGAUCGAGCAAUGCCGCGUGAGUGAAGAAGGUUUUCGGAUCGUAAAACUCUGUUGUUAGAGAAGCGGUAUCUAACCAGAAAGCCACGGCUAACUACGUGCCAGCAGCCGCGGUAAUAC